UAACUUCAAGGUAGAGCGCUCGCUUUGCAUGCGAGAGGUCGGGGGUUCGAUUCCCCC
rnacentral:tRNA from 1 species